GACGAACGCUGGCGGCGUGCCUAAUACAUGCAAGUAGAACGCACAGUUUAUACCGUAGCUUGCUACACCAUAAACUGUGAGUUGCGAACGGGUGAGUAACGCGUAGGUAACCUGCCUGGUAGCGGGGGAUAACUACUGGAAACGAUAGCUAAUACCGCAUAAUAUUGAUUAUUGCAUGAUAAUUGAUUGAAAGAUGCUAUUGCAUCACUACCAGAUGGACCUGCGUUGUAUUAGCUAGUAGGGGAGGUAACGGCUCACCUAGGCGACGAUACAUAGCCGACCUGGGAAGGUGGUCGGCCACACUGGGACUGAGACACCGCCCAGACUCCUACGGGAGGCAGCAGUAGGGAAUCUUCGGCAAUGGACGAAAGUCUGACCGAGCAACGCCGCGUGAGUGAAGAAGGUUUUCGGAUCGUAAAGCUCUGUUGUAAGAGAAGAACGGGUGUGAGAGUGGAAAGUUCACACUGUGACGGUAUCUUACCAGAAAGGGACGGCUAACUACGUG
rnacentral:rRNA from 1 species